rnacentral:rRNA from 1 species
GACAGAGGGUGCAAACGUUGUUCGGAAUUACUGGGCGUAAAGCGCGUGUAGGCGGCUUUGCAAGUCGGAUGUGAAAUCCCACGGCUCAACCGUGGAAGUGCAUCCGAAACUGCAUCGCUCGAGUCUCGGAGAGGAAGGUGGAAUGCUUGGUGUAGAGGUGAAAUUCGUAGAUAUCAAGCAGAACACCUGCGGCGAAGGCGGCCUUCUGGACGAUGACUGACGCUGAGACGCGAAAGCGUGGGGAGCAAACAGG